UGAGGAAUAUUGGUCAAUGGGCGAGAGCCUGAACCAGCCAAGUAGCGUGCAGGAUGACGGCCCUAUGGGUUGUAAACUGCUUUUAUGUGGGGAUAAAGUGCGUGACGUGUCAUGCAUUGCAGGUACCACAUGAAUAAGGACCGGCUAAUUCCGUGCCAGCAGCCGCGGUAAUACGGAAGGUCCGGGCGUUAUCCGGAUUUAUUGGGUUUAAAGGGAGCGUAGGCUGUCUAUUAAGCGUGUUGUGAAAUUUACCGGCUCAACCGGUGGCUUGAAGCGCGAGCUGGUCGACUUGAGUAUGCAGGAAGUAGGCGGAAUUCAUGGUGUAGCGGUGAAAUGCUUAGAUAUCAUGACGAACUCCGAUUGCGCAGGCAGCUUACUGUAGCAUAACUGACGCUGAUGCUCGAAAGUGCGAGUAUCAAACAGG
rnacentral:rRNA from 1 species